CAGGUUGGAGUGGAGUCUUCUUCAUCUCUCUGGUUAAAUAAACUGUGAACUGACCCUUGAUCCAGGAAGUAGCUGACUCACCUGUUCAGUGUUCAGGUUGGAGUGGAGUCUUCUUCAUCUCUCUGGACUGGUUAAAUAAACUGUGAAGGUAGAAAGUGUGUGUCAACUGAUGUGAAUCCAGGAGAAUGGAUCAGUGUGAGGACAGAGAGGAGGGAGUCCCUCCUUCUAAACCCAAUGUGAGAAAGUUACGUGAGAUGUUCGAGAAGAAGUGUGAAGCUCAGAGUGUCCAUCAGACACCAGAAUGUAAACCUGAACCUGAACCCAAACCUGAUCCCAGCUGUGUGUCUAUGAAGAGUGACCAGUCCAUGGUUUUUCCAUUAAAAUUUGCGGGAAGGUAAGUUGUAAGGUUUGGGAACAUGUUCAGCAUCUUUGUUGUCGUUUUGUGUGUGUUGUGAAUAAAAUUAAACUUUUUGUAAGUAUUGUGUAGCCUGUCACAGUGAUGAUGAAUCCUCACUUGAUACGAAUUUAAUAAUUUAGAAAUGGCUGUAAAAUAAAAAAUCUGCUGUAAGUAAUUUGAUCUCCACUUUGUCUGUCAGACAUCAGACACCAGAUUACUCUAAAUCUGAACCUAAACAUAAAGCUACACUCAAACCUGAACCCAGCAGUGUGUCUAUGAAGAGUGACCGGUCCAUGAAUACUCCACUAAGAUUUGACUCCAGAAGAGUGAAGCAGCAGAGUUUAAAUGUUCUCAGUGAUCAGUCUGUUCAUCAGCAUCAAAC